UACCAGCACCCCGAGUUGUCGGGACGAUUAUUGGGCCUAAAGCAUCCGUAGCCUGUUCUGCAAGUCCUCCGUUAAAUCCACCUGCUUAACAGAUGGGCUGCGGAAGAUACUAUAGAGCUAGGAGGCGGGAGAGGCAAGCGGUACUCGAUGGGUAGGGGUAAAAUCCGUUGAUCCAUUGAAGACCACCAGUGGCGAAGGCGGCUUGCCAGAACGCGCUCGACGGUGAGGGAUGAAAGCUGGGGGAGCAAACCGG
rnacentral:rRNA from 1 species